rnacentral:rRNA from 1 species
AAUGCCGUCGCUCAACGGAUAAAAGCUACCCUGGGGAUAACAGGCUGAUCUCCCCCAAGAGUCCACAUCGACGGGGAGGUUUGGCACCUCGAUGUCGGCUCAUCACAUCCUGGGGCUGAAUUCGGUCCCAAGGGUUCGGCUAUUCGCCGAUUAAAGUGGUACGCGAGCUGGGUUCAGAACGUCGUGAGACAGUUCGGUCCCUAUCUGCUGUGGGCGUAGGAUAUUUGAGGAGCGCUGUUCCUAGUACGAGAGGACCGGAAUGGACGCACCGCUGGUGUAUCGGUUGUCAUGCCAAUGGCACGGCCGAGCAGCUAUGUGCGGAAGAGAUAAACGCUGAAAGCAUCUAAGCGUGAAGCCCCCUCCAAGAUAAGAUAUCCCACUUUUUAAAGUUAAGACCCCUUGUAGACUACGAGGUUGAUAGGUUGCAUGUGUAAGUGCAGUGAUGUAUUUAGCUAGGCAAUACUAAUAGGUCGAGGGCUUAACCUUUCA